rnacentral:rRNA from 1 species
UCCCCGACGACUGGCAUUCAUCGUUUACGGUGUGGACUACCAGGGUAUCUAAUCCUGUUUGCUCCCCACACUUUCGUACCUCAGCGUCAGUAUCGAGCCAGUGAGCCGCCUUCGCCACUGGUGUUCCUCCAAAUAUCUACGAAUUUCACCUCUACACUUGGAAUUCCACUCACCUCUCUCGAACUCUAGACUGAUAGUUUAGGAGGCAGUUCCAGGGUUGAGCCCUGGGAUUUCACCCCCUACUUUCCAAUCCGCCUACGUACGCUUUACGCCCAGUAAUUCCGAACAACGCUAACCCCCUCCGUAUUACCGCGGCUGCUGGCACGGAGUUAGCCGGGGUUUCUUUACCAGAUACUGUCAUUAUCAUCUCUGGCGAAAGAGCUUUACGAUCCUAAGACCUUCGUCACUCACGCGGCAUGGCUAGAUCAGGCUUGCGCCCAUUGUCUAAGAUUCCCCACUGCUGCCUCCCGUAGGAGUCUGGGCCGUGUCUCAGUCCCAGUGUUGCUGAUCAUCCUCUCAAACCAGCUAAAGAUCGUAGACUUGGUAGGCCAUUACCCCACCAACUAUCUAAUCUUACGCGGGCUAAUCCUUCACCGAUAAAUCUUUCCCCAAAAGGGCUUAUACGGUAUUACUCUCAGUUUCCCGAGGCUAUUCCGUAGAGAAGGGUAUAUUCCCACGCGUUACUAACCCGUCCGCCGCUCCUCACCGAAGUGAAGCGCUCGACUUGCAUGUGUUAGGCCUGCCGCCAGCGUUCGUUCUGAGCCAGGAUCAAACUCU